GGGACACGUGGUAUCCUGUCUGAAUAUGGGGGGACCAUCCUCCAAGGCUAAAUACUCCUGACUGACCGAUAGUGAACCAGUACCGUGAGGGAAAGGCGAAAAGAACCCCGGCGAGGGGAGUGAAAAAGAACCUGAAACCGUGUACGUACAAGCAGUGGGAGCACGCUUAGGCGUGUGACUGCGUACCUUUUGUAUAAUGGGUCAGCGACUUAUAUUCUGUAGCAAGGUUAACCGAAUAGGGGAGCCGAAGGGAAACCGAGUCUUAACUGGGCGUUAAGUUGCAGGGUAUAGACCCGAAACCCGGUGAUCUAGCCAUGGGCAGGUUGAAGGUUGGGUAACACUAACUGGAGGACCGAACCGACUAAUGUUGAAAAAUUAGCGGAUGACUUGUGGCUGGGGGUGAAAGGCCAAUCAAACCGGGAGAUAGCUGGUUCUCCCCGAAAGCUAUUUAGGUAGCGCCUCGUGAAUUCAUCUCCGGGGGUAGAGCACUGUUUCGGCAAGGGGGUCAUCCCGACUUACCAACCCGAUGCAAACUGCGAAUACCGGAGAAUGUUAUCACGGGAGACACACGGCGGGUGCUAACGUCCGUCGUGAAGAGGGAAACAACCCAGACCGCCAGCUAAGGUCCCAAAGUCAUGGUUAAGUGGGAAACGAUGUGGGAAGGCCCAGACAGCCAGGAUGUUGGCUUAGAAGCAGCCAUCAUUUAAAGAAAGCGUAAUAGCUCACUGGUCGAGUCGGCCUGCGCGGAAGAUGUAACGGGGCUAAACCAUGCACCGAAGCUGCGGCAGCGACGCUGAUGCGUUGUUGGGUAGGGGAGCGUUCUGUAAGCCUGUGAAGGUGUGCUGUGAGGCAUGCUGGAGGUAUCAGAAGUGCGAAUGCUGACAUAAGUAACGAUAAAGCGGGUGAAAAGCCCGCUCGCCGGAAGACCAAGGGUUCCUGUCCAACGUUAAUCGGGGCAGGGUGAGUCGACCCCUAAGGCGAGGCCGAAAGGCGUAGUCGAUGGGAAACAGGUUAAUAUUCCUGUACUUGGUGUUACUGCGAAGGGGGGACGGAGAAGGCUAUGUUGGCCGGGCGACGGUUGUCCCGGUUUAAGCGUGUAGGCUGGUUUUCCAGGCAAAUCCGGAAAACUAAGGCUGAGGCGUGAUGACGAGGCACUACGGUGCUGAAGCAACAAAUGCCCUGCUUCCAGGAAAAGCCUCUAAGCAUCAGGUAACAUCAAAUCGUACCCCAAACCGACACAGGUGGUCAGGUAGAGAAUACCAAGGCGCUUGAGAGAACUCGGGUGAAGGAACUAGGCAAAAUGGUGCCGUAACUUCGGGAGAAGGCACGCUGAUAUGUAGGUGAAGCGACUUGCUCGUGGAGCUGAAAUCAGUCGAAGAUACCAGCUGGCUGCAACUGUUUAUUAAAAACACAGCACUGUGCAAACACGAAAGUGGACGUAUACGGUGUGACGCCUGCCCGGUGCCGGAAGGUUAAUUGAUGGGGUCAGCGCAAGCGAAGCUCUUGAUCGAAGCCCCGGUAAACGGCGGCCGUAACUAUAACGGUCCUAAGGUAGCGAAAUUCCUUGUCGGGUAAGUUCCGACCUGCACGAAUGGCGUAAUGAUGGCCAGGCUGUCUCCACCCGAGACUCAGUGAAAUUGAACUCGCUGUGAAGAUGCAGUGUACCCGCGGCAAGACGGAAAGACCCCGUGAACCUUUACUAUAGCUUGACACUGAACAUUGAGCCUUGAUGUGUAGGAUAGGUGGGAGGCUUUGAAGUGUGGACGCCAGUCUGCAUGGAGCCGACCUUGAAAUACCACCCUUUAAUGUUUGAUGUUCUAACGUUGACCCGUGAUCCGGGUUGCGGACAGUGUCUGGUGGGUAGUUUGACUGGGGCGGUCUCCUCCUAAAGAGUAACGGAGGAGCACGAAGGUUGGCUAAUCCUGGUCGGACAUCAGGAGGUUAGUGCAAUGGCAUAAGCCAGCUUGACUGCGAGCGUGACGGCGCGAGCAGGUGCGAAAGCAGGUCAUAGUGAUCCGGUGGUUCUGAAUGGAAGGGCCAUCGCUCAACGGAUAAAAGGUACUCCGGGGAUAACAGGCUGAUACCGCCCAAGAGUUCAUAUCGACGGCGGUGUUUGGCACCUCGAUGUCGGCUCAUCACAUCCUGGGGCUGAAGUAGGUCCCAAGGGUAUGGCUGUUCGCCAUUUAAAGUGGUACGCGAGCUGGGUUUAGAACGUCGUGAGACAGUUCGGUCCCUAUCUGCCGUGGGCGCUGGAGAACUGAGGGGGGCUGCUCCUAGUACGAGAGGACCGGAGUGGACGCAUCACUGGUGUUCGGGUUGUCAUGCCAAUGGCACUGCCCGGUAGCUAAAUGCGGAAGAGAUAAGUGCUGAAAGCAUCUAAGCACGAAACUUGCCCCGAGAUGAGUUCUCCCUGACUCCUUGAGAGUCCUGAAGGAACGUUGAAGACGACGACGUUGAUAGGCCGGGUGUGUAAGCGCAGCGAUGCGUUGAGCUAACCGGUACUAAUGAACCGUGAG
rnacentral:rRNA from 1 species